GAAAUUUCCAAGAAAGUGAAGAUCUCGUACAACGCUGUGUACAACGUUAACAGUGAAGACGGGACUCAGGGAUGCUGGCCUUCUUGGCAGAGUUGAAAGAACACUGGACAGAGGGAGGUUGGGGAAAAAGCGUUCUGGACAGAGGAAGGUUGGGGAAAAAGCGUUCUGGACAGAGGAAGGUUGGGGAAAAAGCGUUCUGGACAGAGGGAGGUUGGGGAAAAAGCGUUCUGGACAGAGGGAGGUUGGGGAAAAAGCGUUCUGGACAGAGGGAGGUUGGGGAAAAAGCGUUCUGGACAGAGGGAGGUUGGGGAAAAAGCGUUCUGGACAGAGGAAGGUUGGGGAAAAAGCGUUCUGGACAGAGGAAGG
rnacentral:lncRNA from 1 species